rnacentral:rRNA from 1 species
AACGAACGCUGGCGGCAUGCCUAACACAUGCAAGUCGAACGAGAUCUUCGGGUCUAGUGGCGCACGGGUGCGUAACGCGUGGUAAUCUUCCCUUUGGUUCGGAAUAACAGCUGGAAACGACUGCUAAUACCGGAUGAUGACGAAAGUCCAAAGAUUUAUCGCCAGAGGAUGAUCCCGCGUAGGAUUAGCUAGUUGGUGUGGUAAAGGCGCACCAAGGCGACGAUCCUUAGCUGGUCUGAGAGGAUGAUCAGCCACACUGGGACUGAGACACGGCCCAGACUCCUACGGGAGGCAGCAGUGGGGAAUAUUGGACAAUGGGCGAAAGCCUGAUCCAGCAAUGCCGCGUGAGUGAUGAAGGCCUUAGGGUUGUAAAGCUCUUUUACCCGGGAUGAUAAUGACAGUACCGGGAGAAUAAGCUCCGGCUAACUCCGUGCCAGCCGCCGCCGUAA